AUACGUAGGGGGCGAGCGUUGUCCGGAAUGAUUGGGCGUAAAGGGCGCGUAGGCGGCGCGGUAAGUCUGGAGUGAAAGUCCUGCUUUCAAGGUGGGAAUUGCUUUGGAUACUGAUGGGCUUGAGUGCAGGAGAGGUUAUCGGAAUUCCCGGUGUAGCGGUGAAAUGCGUAGAGAUCGGGAGGAACACCAGUGGCGAAGGCGGGUAACUGGACUGCAACUGGCGCUGAGGCGCGAAAGUGUGAGGAGUAAACAGGAUUAGAUAAACUGGAAGUCCGCACUGAUAACGAUGAAUGCUAUGUAUAAGAAGUAUCGACCCCUUUUGUGCCGAAGUUAACACAAUAAGCAAUCCGCCUGGGGAGUACGGCCGCAAGGUUGAAGCUCAAAUGAAUUGACGGGG
rnacentral:rRNA from 1 species